rnacentral:rRNA from 1 species
GACGAACGCUGGCGGCGUGCUUAACACAUGCAAGUCGAACGGAAAGGCCCUGCUUUUGUGGGGUGCUCGAGUGGCGAACGGGUGAGUAACACGUGAGUAACCUGCCCUUGACUUUGGGAUAACUUCAGGAAACUGGGGCUAAUACCGGAUAGGAGCUCCUGCUGCAUGGUGGGGGUUGGAAAGUUUCGGCGGUUGGGGAUGGACUCGCGGCUUAUCAGCUUGUUUGUGGGGUAGUUGCUUACCAAGGCUUUGACGGAUAGCCGGCCUGGGAGGGUGACCGGCCACAUUGGGACUGAGGUACGGCCCAGACUCCUACGGGAGGCAGCAGUGGGGAAUAUUGCAGAAUGGGCGGAAGCCUGAUGCAGCAGCGCCGCGUGCGGGAUGACGGCCUUCGGGUUGUAAACCGCUUUCGCAUGUGACGAAGAGUGAGUGACGGUAAUGGGUAAAGAAGCACCGGCUAACUACGUG